GGCCAAGUUUUUAAGGGCGCACGGUGGAUGCCUUGGCACCAGGAACCGAUGAAGGACGUGGGAGGCCGCGAUAGGCCCCGGGGAGCUGUCAACCGAGCUGUGAUCCGGGGGUGUCCGAAUGGGGAAACCCGGCAGUCGUCAUGGGCUGUCACCCGCUGCUGAACACAUAGGCAGUGUGGAGGGAACGCGGGGAAGUGAAACAUCUCAGUACCCGCAGGAAGAGAAAACAACCGUGAUUCCGGGAGUAGUGGCGAGCGAAACUGGAUGAGGCCAAACC
rnacentral:ncRNA from 1 species